rnacentral:rRNA from 1 species
AAUCAACGCUGGCGGCGUGCCUAACACAUGCAAGUCGAACGCGAAAGCCCGCAAGGGUAAGUAGAGUGGCGCACGGGUGAGUAACACGUGGACAACCUGCCUUCGAGUCGGGGAAUAACCUUCCGGAAAGGAGGGCUAAUACCGCAUAACACCUCGGGACACAAGUCUUGGGGUUGAAAAGAGCAAUUUGCUCGAAGAGGGUCCGCGCCUGAUUAGCUAGUUGGUG